rnacentral:lncRNA from 10 species
ACUGGGAUUACAGGCGUGAGCCACUGUGCCCGGGCCAAAAUGUUUUCUUAAAUGUGUUCUGUGCCUGGGCUUGGAUUAUCAACACGUUGAAUGGCAAGUCUGAUCACCAUAAUUUUGAAGUGGUGACGGCUGUAAAUUUCAAGGUGUCUGUGACAACAGUAUUUGAUGUGGUCAUUUCAUGGGUGUUGCAUGUGAGGUCACAUUCAUACCCGAAGGAAACAUGAAAUUUUCAGUCAAGGGCAAUAAAAAAAAAAGAGGUAAUUUCCCCCCCCCCAUCCCAGUUCAUGGAUUCUCUGAAUUUUGAUUUCUGAUUUUUGUCCACAGACCCCAGGUUAAGAAGUGGCUCUCAACCAGCAUUUAAAAUUAAAUAAAAAUAAAAGUAGAGAAGAGAAAAAACGUCUGUGUGUAUUUCAUGCAGAAAGAUGAAACUGGGUUGGGAAAUCUUUGCCUAGGUCUGGUGUUCAGUGGCCAGACUUUGCAGCUUGGUCACCUCAAGGUGGACCUCCAACUCUACCUCUAACGGCUGCGUGGGACAAGUCACUUUGCUCUCAGUUCCUCUGUUUCCUCAUUUUGCAAAUGAGGAUAAUUGAAGUCCUGUCCUUCAAUUGUUGUGGGUGGGGACUUUGGGUGGAGCCCCUGAAAUAGGACCUGGCCCUUCCCGUGAUCACUGACUGGCUGUUGCAUUAGAUGAUCACUGGGCGUUUGGCUGUUGCAUUAGAUGAUCGCUGGGUGUUUGGCUGUUGCAUUAGAUGAUCGCUGGGUGUUUGGCUGUUGCAUUAGAUGAUCGCUGGGUGUUUGGCUGUUGCAUUAGAUGAUCGCUGGGUGUUUGGCUGUUGCAUUAGAUGAUCGCUGGGUGUUUGGCUGUUGCAUUAGAUGAUCGCUGGGUGUUUGGCUGUUGCCUUAGAUAAUCACUUGUCUGUUUGGCUGUUGCAUUAGAUGAUCACUGGGUGUUUGGCUGUUGCAUUAGAUGAUCACUGGGUGUUUGGCUGUUGCAUUAGAUGAUCACUUGUCUGUUUGGCUGUUGCAUUAGAUGAUCACUUGUCUGUUUGGCUGUUGCAUUAGAUGAUCACUGGGUGUUUGGCUGUUGCAUUAGAUGAUCACUUGUCUGUUUGGCUGUUGCAUUAGAUGAUCACUUGUCUGUUUGGCUGUUGCAUUAGAUGAUCACUGGGUGUUUGGCUGUUGCAUUAGAUGAUCACUGGGUGUUUGGCUGUUGCAUUAGAUGAUCGCUGGGUGUUUGGCUGUUGCAUUAGAUGAUCGCUGGGUGUUUGGCUGUUGCAUUAGAUGAUCACUGGGUGUUUGGCUGUUGCAUUAGAUGAUCGCUGGGUGUUUGGCUGUUGCAUUAGAUGAUCGUUGGGUGCUUGGCUGUUGCAUUACAUGUGUUGCUUCCUGUGUCUCAAGUAGGAUCAAUUUCUCUCUGUGGAUCAUGGUCCCAAAGGACUGAAAACCCCGUCCCUGGAGGCCCCUGGAGCUCUGAUCUUGGCAAGUGCCCAUGUGGGCUUGGAGGCUUGGGAAGGGGACACGGCCUUGGCAAAUGUUUGCUGAGUGAAUGGAUGAGUGAGUGGCUUCCCUGAGGCCCCUUGAGCACUCAGAGAAUCCCGGGACUGAGUGGCCAGCAGAGGCCCGCUGGGUGGGCCUGGGGUGAGGGACAGUGGGGAGUGGCGGCCUUGAAGCCUGACUCUUCAAAGAUUGUGGGACUGGCACAGAGAUCCACAGCACCUCUGAGGGGGUGGUGCUGCUCUCUUUCUGUCCUCGGCAGAGUCACCUUUGCCCUACCCCUCAUCUCAGUUCACUGGGCUGCAGCACUGGGGACUUUGUCUCCAAGGAGCAGGGAAGGCUUUGGUUGUACCCCAGAUCCAAGGACCAAUCCUGGAUGCACUGAUUCUGCAGAACCUUUAUUUAUUGGUGGAUUCAGAUUCAGCGUCCCGACUCAGUUACUCCAGUACCAUCAGCCACCACCACCCAGAUGGCCUCAGCUCGGAUGGCCCCAUACCCCACC